GAGUUUGAUCCUGGCUCAGGAUGAACGCUGGCGGCGUGCCUAAUACAUGCAAGUCGAGCGAACAGAUAAGGAGCUUGCUCCUUUGACGUUAGCGGCGGACGGGUGAGUAACACGUGGGUAACCUACCUAUAAGACUGGAAUAACUCCGGGAAACCGGGGCUAAUGCCGGAUGACAUUUAGAACCGCAUGGUUCUAAAGUAAAAGAUGGUUUUGCUAUCACUUAUAGAUGGACCCGCGCCGUAUUAGCUAGUUGGUAAGGUAACGGCUUACCAAGGCAACGAUACGUAGCCGACCUGAGAGGGUGAUCGGCCACACUGGAACUGAGACACGGUCCAGACUCCUACGGGAGGCAGCAGUAGGGAAUCUUCCGCAAUGGGCGAAAGCCUGACGGAGCAACGCCGCGUGAGUGAUGAAGGUCUUCGGAUCGUAAAACUCUGUUAUUAGGGAAGAACAAAUGUGUAAGUAACUGUGCACGUCUUGACGGUACCUAAUCAGAAAGCCACGGCUAACUACGU
rnacentral:rRNA from 1 species